AGACAGAGUCUCACACUGUCGCUGGGGCUAGAGUGCAGCGGUGCGAUCUCAGCUCACUGCAAUCUCCGCCUCCUGGGUUCAAGCGAUUCUCUUGCCUCAGCCUCCCAAGUAGUUGGGAUUACAGGCUCUGGCCACCACGCCCAGCUAAUUUUUUGUAUUUUUAGUAGAGACAGGGUUUCAUCAUGUUGGCCAUGCUGGUCUUGAACUCUUCACCUCGUGAUUCCACCCGCCCUGGCCUCCCAAAGUGCUGGGAUUACAGCUGUGAGCCACCGUGCCCAGUCUACUGUACAUUCUUAUUGUUAGAAUCGGUAACGUGCAAAUAUUACCUUUCCUGGUUUUGGCUUUUUUAAGUAAAAAAGUAAAAUUCCUCUGUCCCAGCGAUCCGAGUCUCCAUCCAGUAGGUACCCAUUGUUAACAUUUUUACUGUGUGCAAACACAGAUAAUACCCAGAAUUUUUUGACUGUUCUACAUAGCAGGGUCACAGCAUAUUUGCUUUUUAAAAAGCAUCUUCUUUUCUCUUUUAUCCAUUACAUCUUGCAUAGCAUUUUGUAUCGUGUAAUUUGCCUCAUUCUUUAGAUGGCCUUUUUUACUAGAGUAUAAUACACAGAAAAACAAAUUGUAACCACCACUCAGGUCAAGUAAUAAAACAUUUUCAUCACCAGAAACCUCCCUCCUGCCCACUCCCCAUCAUGCUUCUCCUUUCCUUCUUAUUAGCACCUUUUAUAGUGUACCCUGUUUUUCAAUUUUAUAUAGAUGGAAAUAGAGUAUGCAUUCUUUGGUGUUUGACUUAACAUUUUACUUGUGAGAUGUGUCCACAUUCAUGCACAUAGCAGUAGGUAAUUCAUUGUCAUUGAUGUAUAUACUGUUCCGCACUGGGAAUAUAACCACAGUUAAUUUAUCCAUUCUGCCAUUGGACAUUUGGGUUUCCAGUUUGGAGCUAUUAUACAUAAUAUUGCUAUAGAUAAUUGUCUAAGUCUUUCGGUAUACAUAAAGUAUUUGUACGUUCACUUUUAGUAGAUAUUGCUAACCUUUUUUUUUUUUUUUUUUUUGAGACAGAUUCUCGCUCUGUCACCCAGGCUGGAGUGUAGUGGCGCGAUCUCGGCUCACUGCAACCUCCACCUCCUGGGUUCAGCUAUUCUGCUGCCUCAGCCUCCCUAGUAGCUGGGACUAUAGGUGCAGGCGCAUGCCACUGUGCCCAACAAAUUUUUGUAUUUUUAGUAGAGACAAGGUUUCACUAUAUUGGUCAGUCUGGUCUCGAACUCCUAACCUCAGGUGAGGCCUCUGCCUCCCAAAGUGCUGGGAUUACAGCUACAGUGCAGUGGCACCGUAUUGGCACUCACUGCAACCUCUGCCUCCUGGGUUCAAGUGAUUCUCAUGCCUCAGCCUCCCAAAUAGCUGAGAUUACAGGCAUGCACCACCACACUGAGCUACAUUUUAAAACUUUUAAUAGAGAUGGAGUUUUACCAUGUUGGCCAGGCUGGUCUCAAACUCCUGACCUUAAGUAACCUGCCCACUUUAGCCUUCCAAAAUGCUGGGAUUACAGGCAUGAGCCACUGCGCCCAGCUGCUAAGCAAUGUAUUAAAGGGAGUGUUUCAGUUUAUAUUCUUUUUUUUUUUUUUUUUUUUUUUUUGAGACGGAGUUUCACUCUUGUUGCCCAGGCUGGAAUGCAAUGGCACAAUCUUGGCUCAUGGCAACCUCCACCUCCUGGGUUCAAGUGAUUCUUCUGCCUCAGCCUCCCGAGUAGCUGGGACCACACGCAUGCACCACCACGCCCAGCAAAUUUUGUAUUUUUAGUGGAGAUGGGGUUUCUGCAUGUUGGUCAGGCUGGUCUCAAACUCCCAACCUCAGGUGAUCCAACUGCCUUGGCCUCCCAAAGUGCUGGGAUUACAGGCGUGAGCCACUGCACCCAGCCCGGUUUAUAUUCUUACCAGCAGUAUAUGAGAUUUUUAUUUAUGUUGUUCCAUAUCCUCACCAACACUUGGUAUUGCCAGUCUCUUUAGCCAUUCUGCUAAGUGUGAAGUAAUAUUUCAUUGUGGUUUUAAUUUGCAUUUCCCUGAUUACUGAAAUACCAACUGUUUAUUGGCUAUUUGUAUAGCCUCUUUUGUGAGAUGCCUGUUCAAAUUUCUUGGCUCUUUUUUUUUUUUUUUUUUUUUUUUUUUGAGACAGAGUCUCGCUCUGUCACCAGGCUGGAGUGCAGUGAUGCGAUCUGGGCUCACUGCAAGCUCCGCCUCCCGGGUUCACGCCAUUCUCCUGCCUCAGCCUCCCGAGUAGCUGGGACUGCGGGCACCUGCCACCACACCCAGCUAAUUUUUUGUAUUUUUAGUAAAGACAGGGUUUCACCAUGUUAGCCAGGAUGGUCUCAAUCUCCUGACCUCAUGAUCUGCCCACCUCAGUCUCCCAAAGUUCUGGGAUUACAGGCAUGAGCCACCGCGCCUGGCCUCUUGGCUCUUUUCUACUAAGUUGUCUUUUUCUCAGAGAUUUGAAUAUGCUUUUUAUAUAUUCUAGAUACAAGCUCUCUGUCAUGUAUGUGUUACAACAAAAGUGUCCUGCUCUUGCCAUUCUACUUCCUUGUAGUUAGCAUAGUUUGUGUAGUAUUUAGGAAAUCUUUGCCUGUCCAACCUAAGGUCAUGAUAAUUUUCUUCUAUGCUACCUUCUAGAAGCUUUAUUAUUUUAUUAAUAUUUUCAUAUGUAAAUCCAUAAUCCACCUGAAAUUGAUUUUUGUGUGUGGUGUGAGGUUGGGAUCAAAAUUAGUUUUUUUUGUUUGUUUGUUUGUUUUUUACUAUAGAAAUACCCAUUUCUCUCAGCAACAUUUAUUGAAAGGACCAUCCUUAUUUCUCUGCAGCACUGCCUUUGUCUAAUUUAAGUGUCCGUAUAUAUGUGGGUCCAUUUCUAGACUUUCUUUUGUUCCAUUGGACUAUUUUUCUUACUACCCUUGUACCAGUCUUUGUUUUACCCCUACCCUUAUACUUUAAGUCUUGAUAGAGUCAGUCGUCCCCCUUUCUCAUUUCUUUUCAGGACUGUCUUGUUUCUUGGCCUUUUGCAUUUUCAUAUAAUUUUUAGAUCAACUUGUCAAUUUCCACACACACAAAAAAAAGUUUUGAGAUACUGAUUGGGAUUGCCUUUCAUCUACUGAUUACUUUGGAUGGAGUUAACAUUGUUAUAAUAUUGACCUUGUUUACUUCUAAUCUAUGAACAUGGAAUGUCAUUCAUUUCUUUAUUUAACUUUUGAGACAAGGGGUCUUGCUCUGUGGCCCAGGCUGGAGUGCAGUGGCAUGAUCAUAGCUCACUACUGCCUUGAAAUCCCAGGCUCAAGCAAUCCUCCUGCCUCAGCCUUUUGAGUACAGGCAUGCAUCACCACACCUAGCUAAUUUUAAAAAACUUAUAGUAGAGACAAGGUCUCACUGUGUUGCCUAGGCUGGUCUCAAACUUUUGAGCUCAAGCAGUCUUCCCACCUUGGCCUCUCUGAGUGCUGGAAUUAUAGGCAUGAACCACCAUGUCCCACCUCUUUCAUUUAUUUACAUUAUCUCUAAUUCAUCUCUGUAGAAGUUUUACUUCUCUUGUAUUAGAUUUAUUUCUAGGUAUCUGGUUUUUGUUUUGUUUUGUGAGAUGGAGUCUCGCUCUGUCGCCCAGGCUGGAGUGCAGUGGCACAAUCUCGGCUCACUGCACCCUCCACCUCCCGGGUUCAAGUGAUUCUCCUGCCUCAGCGUUCCAAGUAGCCGAGAUUACAGGCAUGCGCCACCACACCUGGCUAAUUUUGGAGUUUUAGUAGAGACAGGAUUUCACCUUGUUGGCCAGGCUGGUCUCAAACUCCUGACCUCAAGUGAUCCACCUGCCUCUGCUUCCCAGAGUGCUGGGAUUAUAGGCAUGAGCCACAGUGCCUGGCCCUAGGUAUAUGGUUUUGAUGCUAUUAUAAAUAGUGUCUUCAAAAUGUGAUUGGCUGUGCUGGUGUCUAGAAAUACAACUGAUUUUGUAUUCAGAAAGUUUGCUAAAUCUGUAUGUUCUUUAGGAUUUUAGUACAUACACUCAUGUCUAUGAUAAUGAGUUUUUCCUUCCCUCUGCAGUCUUAUUCUGUUUAUGUCUUACUGCACUUGGCUAGGACUUUGAGUUGAAUAGACAUAAUAAUAAACAUCCUUGUCUUGUUAUAUCUGAAAUGAGUGUGUACGUACAGUCAAUGAAGUAGAGGAGUAAUAACUUUUUUCCCCUAAUUGUUAAACCAGUUGACCAGUUGUCUUCCAGUCCUAGCUAAUCAUUACAGUCACCUUUGGCUUUUUUUUUUUUUUUUCCUUGAAGAGACCUCACUAUAUUGCCUAGGCUGGUCUCAAAACUCUUGGGCUCAAGUGAUCCUCCCACCUUGGCCUCCCAAAGUGUUGGGAUUACAGGCAUGCACCACCACACCUGGCUAAUUUUUGUAUUUCUAGUAGAGAUGAGGUUUCACCAUGUUGGCCACACUGUUCUCGAACUCCUGACCUCAGGAGAAUCGCUUGAACCAGGGAGGCGGAGGUUGCAGUGAGGUGAGAUCGUGCCACUGCACUCCAGCCUGGUGACAGAGCAAGGCUCCGUCUCAAAAAAAAAAAAAGUUCCACAGGUGACUGAUGAGCCGUCGUGUGAGAACCAGCGAGGUAGUGUCAGGGAUCUGAAGUGAUUGAAAAUGCCGCUUAUAUAUUCAAUCCUUGGAUCCCUUUGAUGAGUUUUUGUAUUCUGCUCUUUUAUAUGCCUGUAAUCCCAUGUUUUUUAAACCAUUGUGCUCUGGCCUUUCUUGCUGUUUGAGCGUAACUUCAACUGUUAUUGCCGUGAGCAGUCUUCUCAAGCUCCUCCUGGGCCCGGCUUCCUGAUGAUGGCCUCACUGAACUGUUCUGCUGCUUACCACUUGUCUGAAGCUUCCUCUUUUCCCUUUUUGAACUCUUAUUAAGCUUGGCUUCCUGUUUGUACUUAUUAAGCUUGUUGGCUUCCUGUUUGUACUUAUAUGAUGUAGCUGGUACUGGGUAAGAAAUCACUAGCAGCUUUUCAAGUAGGAAAGACGGUCUGAGGUGACAGUUUAGUGGCUUUGUAAUUAGGCUCAGCACUUACGAGACUAUUUGCAGUGUCCGCUCUGUGCCAUCUACUUUGCUGCUGGUC
rnacentral:lncRNA from 1 species